GUUAAGCAGGCCUUUUGGCUCUCCACCCACUGUGAACAUACCUACGUUUCCCUCGGCGGGCUCAGCGCGCGGCGUCCUUCCGUCUCGCGUCCGCAGGUUCACCUACAGAACUGAUUUAUAUCGUGUAUCUCUGAGGGGCGAACGAGCGUAAACAAAAUGAAUCAAAACUUUCAAGAACGGAUCUCUUGGCUCUGGCAUCGAUAAAGAACGCACCGAAAUGCGAUAAGUAAUGUGAAUUGCAGAAUUCAGUGAAUCAUCGAAUCUUUGAACGCACAUUGCGCGCGCCGGCACUCCGGCGGAAAUGCCUGUCCGAGCGUCAUUUCAACCCUCGGGCCCACCCUUCGCGGGGGAACGGGCCCGGCGUUGGGGACCGGAGGCCGCCUCGGCGAACCCGCCCCCUAAAUUCAGUGGCGGUCGCGCCGCAGCCUCCCCUGCGUAGUAGCACACCUCGCACCGGAGAGCGGCACGGCCACGCCUCGAAACCCCCCAAUUUUUUCAGG
rnacentral:sRNA from 1 species